CAACAUAGACAUUAAAUGAUCAUAGAUCAGUGGCAUUUCGUAGUCACAAUUGUUUGGUGCUCGUUGAAUUAAGACACCGAGGAGAUACCAGAUUCUUGCUUAAUUGAUUAUAUAAGUGGUUGAAACACUGCAUCCAAGACAUGAAUCGUUGUAACUUUGCAGUUUUCUUCAUUUUGGUCACCUUACUGCUUGUUGAACGUAGUCAGGGGGUACAAUUUGGGGUAA